CGUUAUUCGUUUUUUCUUACCGAUGAUCUACUGUGGGGGAUUCGAUUUAUCACCUUCCCUCCCCUGUUUUAUUAAGCUUUCUGCUACUGUUAGUGUUUCAUUUUGGGUUUUUCGGACUGCCCUGCGGUCGAAUUAGUUGAUCUUCUUUUUUUCGGGUUUUCUUCUUGUUUUUUGUUUGGUUUGAACGAUUUCAGAUUGGCCCAUCCUCACCAAUCGUAGACAAAUAUGUAAAAGACGCUCGCCUACUCAUUGCAACCCAGGAGCAAUCGGAGAUCGCCUCGGUCCUCAACCUCCUCGAUUCCGCUCUUGCUCUCUCUCCGCGGCUUGAGUCGGCUCUGGAGCUCAAAGAUCGAUCCCUCCUCUACCUCCGGCACUUCAAGGAGGUCGCCGACGUGCUCCAAGAGUACACUCCAAGUUACAAGAUGGUCUACGAGGAAUUGUCCCUUUCCUCCGAUAACUCUUCUCAGCAGCUCUCAAGGGAGCAAGUUAAGCUCCUCUCGUCUGACAACUCAUCAGACUUUGCAAAUCAUAAACCUUCAUUCAAAUGCUUCUCUGUGUCUGACUUGAAGAAGAAAGUCAUGGCCGACCUAGUGGAGGGACAAAAUUGAAAAUCAUGGUUGAUUCCAAUUCCAGUCUCUUGAUGAAUCAAACAGCAUCAAUCUGAAUCUCAUUCCAAUUCCUGUUUGAACCAAACAGGUAGAGGUAAUAGACAAUUUCGAUUCCCAUUCCAAUUCCGAUCACGAACCAAACGGACUCUAAGAAGCUUCAGCAAACAAUCUUUUUAUUUUCUUUUUUUGGCUGACCAACAUACUUUGGCAGUCUGGAAUUUUUAUCAAAACUGCUUAUUGGCUGUACUGUAUGGGUGGAGAAUAGCUACCUUACAAAACCAAAAGCUACUGCAUAGAAGCCCUCUACAGCAAGAUUUAGCUGAACGCAAUGGAUGAUUUGUACGUCGUAGAACCAAUGAUAAGAUUCAUUAGUAAUAAAAUAUAUGGGACCCAUACCUUUCGUAGUGGGGCUUAUAAAUUAUGUGAAACUUAGUCAUUAGUUUCACAACCUGUUGAACAGCAAUCCCAAUUCCUUUUGAACAGUUCUAGUCAGAGAGAAGGAUUUAUGCUAAUAAAAAUAUUCUCAUUUAAUUUUUAUGGCCUUGACGUGAAGCCAACCAAAAAGCACUUUUGACUUGUAUUGAAUGUCAUGAACUUUUCCUCC